rnacentral:rRNA from 1 species
ACGAACGCUGGCGGCGUGGAUAAGACAUGCAAGUCGAACGAGAGAAUUGCUAGCUUGCUAAUAAUUCUCUAGUGGCGCACGGGUGAGUAACACGUGAGUAACCUGCCCCCGAGAGCGGGAUAGCCCUGGGAAACUGGGAUUAAUACCGCAUAGUAUCGAAAGAUUAAAGCAGCAAUGCGCUUGUGGAUGGGCUCGCGGCCUAUUAGUUAGUUGGUGAGGUAACGGCUCACCAAGGCGAUGACGGGUAGCCGGUCUGAGAGGAUGUCCGGCCACACUGGAACUGAGACACGGUCCAGACACCUACGGGUGGCAGCAGUCGAGAAUCAUUCACAAUGGGGGAAACCCUGAUGGUGCGACGCCGCGUGGGGGAAUGAAGGUCUUCGGAUUGUAAACCCCUGUCAUGUGGGAGCAAAUUAAAAAGAUAGUACCACAAGAGGAAGAGACGGCUAACUCUGUGCCAGCAGCCGCGGUAAUACAGAGGUCUCAAGCGUUGUUCGGAAUCACUGGGCGUAAAGCGUGCGUAGGCUGUUUCGUAAGUCGUGUGUGAAAGGCGCGGGCUCAACCCGCGGACGGCACAUGAUACUGCGAGACUAGAGUAAUGGAGGGGGAACCGGAAUUCUCGGUGUAGCAGUGAAAUGCGUAGAUAUCGAGAGGAACACUCGUGGCGAAGGCGGGUUCCUGGACAUUAACUGACGCUGAGGCACGAAGGCCAGGGGAGCGAAAGGGAUUAGAUACCCCUGUAGUCCUGGCAGUAAACGGUGCACGCUUGGUGUGCGGGGAAUCGACCCCCUGCGUGCCGGAGCUAACGCGUUAAGCGUGCCGCCUGGGGAGUACGGUCGCAAGAUUAAAACUCAAAGAAAUUGACGGGGACCCGCACAAGCGGUGGAGUAUGUGGCUUAAUUCGAUGCAACGCGAAGAACCUUACCUGGGCUUGACAUGUAAUGAACAACAUGUGAAAGCAUGCGACUCUUCGGAGGCGUUACACAGGUGCUGCAUGGCCGUCGUCAGCUCGUGUCGUGAGAUGUUUGGUUAAGUCCAGCAACGAGCGCAACCCCUGUUGCCAGUUACCAGCACGUGAAGGUGGGGACUCUGGCGAGACUGCCCAGAUCAACUGGGAGGAAGGUGGGGACGACGUCAGGUCAGUAUGGCCCUUAUGCCCAGGGCUGCACACGUACUACAAUGCCCAGUACAGAGGGGGCCGAAGCCGCGAGGCGGAGGAAAUCCUAAAAACUGGGCCCAGUUCGGACUGUAGGCUGCAACCCGCCUACACGAAGCCGGAAUCGCUAGUAAUGGCGCAUCAGCUACGGCGCCGUGAAUACGUUCCCGGGUCUUGUACACACCGCCCGUCACAUCAUGGAAGCCGGUCGCACCCGAAGUAUCUGAAGCCAACCGCAAGGAGGCAGGGUCCUAAGGUGAGACUGGUAACUGGGAUG